rnacentral:rRNA from 1 species
AGUGAACGCUGGCGGCAGGCCUAAUACAUGCAAGUCGAACGGCAGCGCAGCAGAGCUUGCUCUGUGGGUGGCGAGUGGCGGACGGGUGAGGAAUACAUGGGAAUCUGCCCAGUCGUGGGGGAUAACGUAGGGAAACUUACGCUAAUACCGCAUGCGCCCUUCGGGGGAAAGCCGGGGACCUUCGGGCCUGGCGCGAUUGGAUGAGCCCAUGUCGGAUUAGCUAGUUGGCGGGGUAAUGGCCCACCAAGGCGACGAUCCGUAGCUGGUCUGAGAGGAUGAUCAGCCACACUGGAACUGAGACACGGUCCAGACUCCUACGGGAGGCAGCAGUAGGGAAUAUUGGACAAUGGGCGCAAGCCUGAUCCAGCCAUGCCGCGUGAGUGAAGAAGGCCCUCGGGUGUAAAGCUCUUUGUCCGGAAAGAAAAGCGCCGGGGUUAAUACCCUGGUGUCCUGACGGUACCGGAAGAAUAAGCACCGGCUAACGUUCGUGCCAGC